AGUGGGCCCUCUGCUGCACUGAGAAGCGGGGUAAAGUGCAUUUACGGAUGAGCUCUGCAGCGCACAGGCCUUUGGGAUGUUAUGUCACGUUUGCGGACACCUGACGCGCACAAUGAUACCACCAUCUUUGUCUCUGUCCUUUGCUAUGAUCACCUGUUGAAUCACCUGCAGCACAGGGCAGGACCAUUAGAUUAAUAAACAUACACCUUUGGGUUUCAGACUACCCGGAUUCAAAUCCUGAUUUUAUCCCUUGCUCACUGGGCGACUUUGAACAAGUGACUUAACCUAUUUGUGUCUCAGGUUUUUCAUCUAGAAAAUGAUGCUAAUAAUAAUAUCAACAUUACAGCAUUGUUGCAGUCAGGGAAGAAAAUCUGAUUUUUUUUUUUUUUUUUUUUGAGACAAAGUCUCACUAUGAAACUUGGGCUGGACUCAAACUCCUGACCCUCCUGCCUUAGUCUCCUGAGUACCUUUAACACAGGGGAAGUGCUUAAGAUACGGACUGGCACAGGAAAACUCCCAAUAGAUGUUAGGUACUCUUGCUUCACCUCACUAUUUGAAGAACAUAACAUUUCCCCUCCUUAUGGUGGCUUUGCUGGGAGAUAGUCUGUGAGACAGGUGCCAAGUUCCACCAAUUGGCUGUAGCCACUCAGACAACUAUGUUGGGCUGCAGUCUGAGGCGGCAUCUAAACCCAGCGUGGGAUGUUGGCGGGGUCUGCCGUGGGGAGGAGGUAGGGCCCAGUGGCCUGGGUGCCGCAUGGUUCCCAUUCCUGUUUGUGGCUUGUCCUGUCUUAAGCGCUUUCCUCUCUCUUUUUUUACUGCUUUCUCUUUUUCUACCUCUCUUCCAGCCUUCCCCUGCCCACCUACCUGCUGCUGUGGGCAUCUCUGGAUGCCAGUGGCCACUCUGUGGAAUCUGGAGCCUGUUCCAAGUGAGGCUGCCCUGCGCCCAGGCGCUGGGAUCCACUGGUGCUUGCCAGGGAACUUCCCACAGCCCCAGCAGCCCUCGACUUCGCCCGCACAGCCCAGGGCCUUGUGCUGAG
rnacentral:lncRNA from 1 species